UGGGUGACCUGCCCUCAGCUCUGGGAUAAGCCCGGGAAACUGGGUCUAAUACCGGAUAUGACUCCUCAUCGCAUGGUGGGGGGUGGAAAGCUUUAUUGUGGUUUUGGAUGGACUCGCGGCCUAUCAGCUUGUUGGUGAGGUAAUGGCUCACCAAGGCGACGACGGGUAGCCGGCCUGAGAGGGUGACCGGCCACACUGGGACUGAGACACGGUCCAGACUCCUACGGGAGCAG
rnacentral:rRNA from 1 species